rnacentral:rRNA from 1 species
CGCAUCGCGGGGCGAAGCCUGACCGCAAUGCCGCGUGCAGGAAGAAGGCCUUCGGGUUGUAAACUGCUUUUGUACGGAACGAAACGGUCUGCCCUAAUACAGCGGGCUAAUGACGGUACCGUAAGAAUAAGCACCGGCUAACUACGUGCCAGCAGCCGCGGUAAUACGUAGGGUGCGAGCGUUAAUCGGAAUUACUGGGCGUAAAGCGUGCGCAGGCGGUUAUGUAAGACAGUUGUGAAAUCCCCGGGCUCAACCUGGGAAUUGCAUCUGUGACUGCAUAGCUAGAGUACGGUAGAGGGGGAUGGAAUUCCGCGUGUAGCAGUGAGGUGCGGAGAUAUGCGGAGGAACACCGAUGGCGAAGGCAAUCCCCUGGACCUGUACUGACGCUCAUGCACGAAA